CGGUGCGCUGCGCGCUCUGACUGUGAUGACGCCAGGGCUGAGCCGCUGUAGACUGCUUGCGGUGAGGGACCAGUGGACAACUUCUACCUGAAUUAGCAUCAUAUGGAGGACAUAUUUGAGUACUGCCGCUGACUUCUUAAAUCCUUUCCUAUUCUCAGAUAAGUAUCUGUGUUUUUAAAGAAAGUCAUUGAGCAUCUUGGCACAUGCUUCCCAACUGGGACUCAUUACCCUCUUCUGAAGGAGUGAACAUACUAAAAAAGCUUUGGAGGAUGAAAAGGAGGAAUGGAUGCAUGGAUGGAAAAUAGAGAACUUUUACUUCAAUGAAACUAUCAACGUGUAAUACUGCAAUGGUGGCUACCUAACAUUAUGUAUUUUUCAAAACCCAAAGAACUAUACAACGCAAAGGAUGAACCCUAAUGUCACAUCAUCUGUAUUGAAAAUGUAGCCUUAUAUCCUGUUGCUCUGUUUCUACAUGCCAUGGUCGUCAGAGAUGGCAAACUCCUGGAGGCUAAGCACUGCGCUAUAUGCAGACACGCAAUAGCAUCACUGGAAAAUGAAAACAAACUUAAGAGUACUGUGCAUAGUAUUUCUGAGGAUCCUGUUUGCAAGGAAAAAAAAUCUUUUUCUAAGUGGUCAGCUUUCUUUUUGGCACGUUUAUUUCAUAGAUUCAGACUCAAAAUACAACUUUCUUUUUGGUUUGGCAGUGGUCAUUGGUAUCUUCAUAUUAUUUCCCUGCUUCUUUAGAAAAAAAAAAAAAAAAGAAGUUUGGGGGAGUUCUCUUGUGGCACAGCAGGUUAAGGAUCCAGUGUUGUCACUACAGCGACUUGGAUCACCGCUAUGGCUCAAAUUGAGUCGCUGCCCAGGAACAUCCGCAUGCCACAGGUGUGGCAAAAACAUAAAAAAUAAAAGGAAAUUUUACUCCCAUUCUCGCGUGCUGUGACCAAAUCUCAAGAAUCUGGAGGGUACUUGGGCACUAGCCAUAGCCAUUAGCUGCAGUUGUUUGACAUGAUACUUGGUCAAAUGUCACUCUCAAGUCUGAAAUAUAAUAAUGAGAAUUUUUGUGUGUUGGGGGGAGGAAGGGUAAAAUUAUGAACUAUAAAACCAGAGUGACAGGAAGGUGCUAGGAGAAAUGUUCAAAACACUGAUGUGAUUUAUGAACAUGUGGCAAACAGAUGUGGUGGAGUAAUAGGGACCCCCAUCUCCUUUUAUAAAUUUGGAUCACAUUUGUGUCUCUCUUGAAUCCCCCCACCCCUAGGUUCAUAAUAUGCUUUAUUAAAAUUCUCUCCAGGGAAUAUGGAUGAAUAAUAAUUGUUGAUGACAGAAAUUUGGUUUUGGUAAGCUGCACGGUGAAAUAUAAAUACAACGGGGCUAUUUUAACCUCUGUAUAUUAAGCUUAUUAGAGUGAGGCUUCUCUCUAAGAUGGCCUGUGUUGAGAUUGUGUGUGAUUUAUGGAAAUGUCACCAAUGACCCUGGUUCUGGAAAAACUCUUAAAAUCUCUUUUGUUGUAAUCAUCACUUGAGUUUCAGUUGUCACUAGGGAAAAUCAUUUUUGGAAAAAAACAUAAUCAAGAGCAGUUAAAAUAUGCUUCAAAUAAAAUAAAUAUUGGGUAGCUAUCUAGGAAUAAAAAUACAAAGAAAGCUCUGAGAUGGAUAUUAGAAAUGGAAAUUUAUUUGGAACUAGUUCUAUUUGUGGUGUCGAAGAGAAGCAAAUGGAUAGGGAACACAGGAAUAUUGGCUUUUGAUUCUCUUCCAACUCUGACAUGUUUGAAACCUUCAGAUAAGCCUUUUAUUUCUUUCUACAUUUGCUAAAAGAGCAAGUGUUCUGCAUUUAGUGUCUGUAAUACAGUUUGAAAAAAAAUUUUAAUAAAAGAAAAAAAUUUAAUAGACAUUGCAUCUAUAUGGCAAGAAAUCCAAGCCCUGCAAAUAUGUUUAUAGCAAAGAAUUAGGUUUUUCUUCAUCCUUCUCAAGUGCUCAGUUUUUCUUGUCUAGAAGCAAUUGCUAUUAGCUUGAAGUUAUUUAAUAAAAAUUCCUAAUAUUAUAAGCCAGUCUUCCAAAUAAGAAUGUUGAAAUUGAAAUUUACCACAAAUUGCAUUUACAUCCUGUACUAUUCACAGUGAGUUAGUAGUCAUUUGUAAAGCUGAUAUUUAUAGCAAGAUCAUAUAAUUUUCACAUCAUUCAAGUGAUAUGUAGAGGAAACUUAAAAUAGAUAAAGGGAAAAAAAUUCAAAAUGAUGAGAAUACUGUUAGCAGCCUGAUGAAUACUGAUUUGGUGAUUUUUUUGCUGUGGGCAGGGACUUUGUCAGACAGAACUAAAAUAUCAUACAGCUAAAACACUUUUUUUUUUUUUUUAAUGGCUGCACCCAUGGCAUAUGGAAAUUCCCAGGCCAGGGGUCGAAUCCCAGCACAUGCUGUAUAGGUCACAGCUGCAGCAACACCAGAUCCUUUAACCCACUGCAUUGGGCUGAGGAUCGAACCUAUACUGCCACAGCAGGGUGAACUGCCACAGUCAGAUUCUGAACUCACUGCACCACAGCAGGAACUCCAUACAGCUGAAACUCUUGAUUUGAGUUCCAAAACACCUCUGUUUCUCCCAUCCAAGAAUACAGCUAGAGUUGUCUGGAAGUCACAAAGAAUGAUGGCUAGAUCAGGGCCUCCUACAAAGUUAUGGGAAUCAGCAUGGGGAAAGUCCAUUCUUAACUUGUUGGGCUAAAAAAGAAAAAGAAUCAAGAACCCCCAUGCUUUACUUCUUGCCCUCAUUUUUCAUUCAAUUAGGGUAAAUUAUAAAAACAGUAACAAAAACUGAAUCACACAUGGUAACAAUAUCCUAAUGUGUUUGAGAAAUAAUGCAGAAGAUGGACUUAACCACCUCAGAAAAAUUUGGGAAACUAUUCAGGGUUCUAAAUGGAAGUCUGGUAUUUUGAUUAUGAAGACAACUUUCCUUCAGCUCUGUUCACAUCAUCAGCUUCCCUCUCACCUCUAUCAGUGAUGACUGGUAACUCAGCUUUUAUACCUAUUUCUUAGAGAAUAUAUAAGAAGGAUUCCAUAAAAAAAUAAAUAAAGGAAAGAAAGGAAAAAAAGUGAGUGCCAUUGCCUUUUUUGUGUCUUUAGAGAGUUUUGUCUACAGUCUGAAAUGGGUUAGGACAUUUAAACUUGAAUAAUUGGAAACUGUCUUGAUUCUUUUCUAAAUUGAAGUGCCUUGGUGGUUGACAAUUGAAGAAUGAUUUACAAUUCCUGGAGUACUUUGUGGGUUUGGUUUUUAAAAUCAGUUCUUAAUAUUCAAGCUACUUGGAAGUUGGAGCUUGAAUAAUAACUAGUUAUUUCUAAAAUGUGGAAUUUGUCCAGUUUUGUGUAAAUGCCCAAACUGAUUUGUUUUCAAAAAUGUAAAUUACCUUAUUCAAUUGUCCUGGGAACCAAUGGAGUAGCAGUAGGGGUUUUUUUUCCCUCUAACUGUAAAAUAGUUCGAUGUUAGAAAAUUAAAAACUAAAGAAGGCAGAUUUUCUUGUGCCGAGGCUAUUGAACAGAUACAGUCCCCAUUUGCUGGAGUGUGGCCCUGCAACAACACCAAGUACCUGUAAGUUUUACCAGCACAAAUCUUGAGAAUGAGGGAGGGAGCCACAGCAUCCUGUGUAUCUUUAGAACAAAAGCUAAUGUUACAUUAAUCCAGACUUUCAAAAAUAAAUUCAAAUAUCCCGGUAUUCCAUCAGUAUAACAGUUUCGAAUUACCCUAGCCAUGAGACCAGCUGAAUUCUUGACUACUCUUAGCUAACAUAAACAAAAUAAUGCCUGCCUCUUUUUAUCUUUCUUGAAAGUAGUAAGUGUGGAAGAUGUGUGUGAGCUGAAAUAGCAUUUUAAUUAAUGAGCAGAAGUGAGGUAACUUGAAAACUGAGUUUAUAUUGCACCUUAUGUUCUGUUCAUAUCACCUAAAGCACUGAUAAAUAAAACCACUACUCAUUCUAUCAUUGAUUCUACAAAUAAUUAUUUAUACCCUCUAUGUGUUAAACAUUUUGGUAGAAACUAGUUGUUUAAAGAUUUAAAGACAAAUCAGUUUGGGCAUUUACUCAAAUCUAGGGGUUCCCAGGUUAAGCUCAGCGGGUUAAAGAUCUGGUGUUGCCAUGUCUGUGGCGUAGGCCAGCAGCUACAGCUCUGGCCUGGCAACUUACAUAUGCAGCAGAUGUGGCCAUAA